CCUACGGGAGGCAGCAGUGGGGAAUAUUGGACAAUGGGCGAAAGCCUGAUCCAGCAAUGCCGCGUGAGUGAUGAAGGCCUUAGGGUCGUAAAGCUCUUUUACCCGGGAUGAUAAUGACAGUACCGGGAGAAUAAGCCCCGGCUAACUCCGUGCCAGCAGCCGCGGUAAUACGGAGGGGGCUAGCGUUGUUCGGAAUUACUGGGCGUAAAGCGUACGUAGGCGGUUAUUCAAGUCAGAGGUGAAAGCCCGGGGCUCAACCCCGGAACGGCCUUUGAAACUAGAUAGCUAGAGUCUUGGAGAGGUCAGUGGAAUUCCGAGUGUAGAGGUGAAAUUCGUAGAUAUUCGGAAGAACACCAGUGGCGAAGGCGACUGACUGGACAAGUACUGACGCUGAGGUACGAAAGCGUGGGGAGCAAACAGGAUUAGAUACCCUGGUAGUCCACGCCGUAAACGAUGAUAACUAGCUGUCCGGGUACUUGGUAUCUGGGUGCGCAGCUAACGCAUUAAGUUAUCGCCUGGGGAUACGGUCGCAGNUUAAAACUCAAAGGAAUUGACGG
rnacentral:rRNA from 1 species